CUGCUUAACACAUGCAAGUCGAACGCAACCUUCGGGUUGAGUGGCGGACGGGUGAGUAACGCGUGAGAAUCUGCCUUGGGGUCGGGGACAACCACUGGAAACGGUGGCUAAUACCGGAUAAGCCUUUGGGUAAAAGAUUUAUUGCCCCAAGAGGAGCUCGCGUCUGAUUAGCUAGUUGGUGAGGUAAAAGCUCACCAAGGCAGCGAUCAGUAGCUGGUCUGAGAGGACGAUCAGCCACACUGGGACUGAGACACGGCCCAGACUCCUACGGGAGGCAGCAGUGGGGGAUUUUCCGCAAUGGGCGAAAGCCUGACGGAGCAAGACCGCGUGAGGGAGGAAGGCUCUUGGGUUGUAAACCUCUUUUCUCAGGGAAGAAGCUCUGACGGUACCUGAGGAAUCAGCCUCGGCUAACUCCGUGCCAGCAGCCGCGGUAAUACGGAGGAGGCAAGCGUUAUCCGGAAUUAUUGGGCGUAAAGCGUCCGCAGGUGGCGAUUCAAGUCUGCUGUCAAAGCACGGGGCUUAACUCCGUUAAGGCAGUGGAAACUGAAUAGCUAGAGUGCCGUAGGGGUAGAGGGAAUUCCCGGUGUAGCGGUGAAAUGCGUAGAGAUCGGGAAGAACAUCGGUGGCGAAAGCGCUCUACUGGACGGCAACUGACACUCAGGGACGAAAGCUAGGGGAGCGAAUGGGAUUAGAUACCCCAGUAGUCCUAGCUGUAAACGAUGGAUACUAGGUGUAGCUUGUAUCGACCCGAGCUGUCCCGAAGCUAACGCGUUAAGUAUCCCGCCUGGGGAGUACGCACGCAAGUGUGAAACUCAAAGGAAUUGACGGGGGCCCGCACAAGCGCUGGAGUAUGUGGUUUAAUUCGAUGCAACGCGAAGAACCUUACCAGGGCUUGACAUGUCCGGAAUCCCGGUGAAAGCUGGGAGUGCCUUCGGGAGCCGGAACACAGCUGGUGCAUGGCUGUCGUCAGCUCGUGUCGUGAGAUGUUGGGUUAAGUCCCGCAACGAGCGCAACCCUCGU
rnacentral:rRNA from 1 species